GGCGAACGCUGGCGGCGUGCCUAAUACAUGCAAGUUGAGCGCUGAAGGUUGGUACUUGUACCAACUGGAUGAGCAGCGAACGGGUGAGUAACGCGUGGGGAAUCUGCCUUUGAGCGGGGGACAACAUUUGGAAACGAAUGCUAAUACCGCAUAAAAAUUUUAAACACAAGUUUUAAGUUUGAAAGAUGCAAUUGCAUCACUCAAAGAUGAUCCCGCGUUGUAUUAGCUAGUUGGUGAGGUAAAGGCUCACCAAGGCGAUGAUACAUAGCCGACCUGAGAGGGUGAUCGGCCACAUUGGGACUGAGACACGGCCCAAACUCCUACGGGAGGCAGCAGUAGGGAAUCUUCGGCAAUGGACGAAAGUCUGACCGAGCAACGCCGCGUGAGUGAAGAAGGUUUUCGGAUCGUAAAACUCUGUUGGUGGAGAAGAACGUUGGUGAGAGUGGAAAGCUCAUCAAGUGACGGUAACUACCCAGAAAGGGACGGCUAACUACGUG
rnacentral:rRNA from 1 species